GCCUGGGUGGCUCAGUCGGUUGAGCGAUUGACUUCGGCUCAGGUAAUGAUCUCACACUCGUGGGUUCGAGCCCCGCCUUGGGCU
rnacentral:tRNA from 1 species